AAGGGAGACCUAAUUCAGGUAGGAGACGAGAAAAAAGUAGUCGCUACCAAGAAUCAAUCCCAAAAGGUCGGAGCGAGGCGAAAUUGGCUUUCAAACUAGGUUCUGGGUUCACACAAGACCUGAAUCAGGAACAAGGGCUAUUAGCUCAGGUGGUUAGAGCGCACCCCUGAUAAGGGUGAGGUCCCUGGUUCGAGUCCAGGAUGGCCCACCUGUACAGGUGGCAAAAAGAAAGAAAAGAAGCGAGGAAUCAGCACCUUAUCUUACUGACAUAGUAAGAGAGAAUGCUGGCUCUGAGUAAAGAGUCCAGAGGAACCUUGAAAACUGCAUAGAGCUAGGUGAAAAAGCCAAAAAAGAAGACCGCAA
rnacentral:tRNA from 1 species